CAUGGAACAAUUAAUCUUGAAAAUAUUGUGAGUAUUGGAUGGGGUCGUACAAACAUCACACGAGAUACAGGCGUCAUUCUUAUUAAACGAUUUGCAGCGAAUGUGGUAGAACCCGCAGAUCGAUGCUCUGCUCGGUUCCUCACGAACGCAAGCAGCUAGCGGCGGCAAUGGCAGUCGCAGUCGCAGUCGCAGUCGCAGCUGCUGGCUCAGCCGCGGCACCGCGUGAUCGCGUCGCAGCCGCGGCUGUAGGGGUUGGCCUCCGCGCCGGGGCGGCAGUUGUAGUAGGACGCGCCGCGCUGCGAGCACGGGGUGCUGUCCCUGGACAGCGCGGCGUAGCUGAUGAACCCCGCGGCCCCCGUGACCGUGAGGGCGUCGAUGCUCGUGGCGUUGCCGUCGUCGAGGCCCGUGGCGUUAGCGUCGUCGAGCCGACGCCUGCCGUCGAGCAGGUCGGCGUCGUCGUAGUCGCCGCCGCCGAUGAGCAGCUUCGUGCCGGCGUCGGCGGCGCGCGAGUAGGCCGACGACGUCGACGCCGCGGCCACCGCGAGCGUGGCUACGAGGGCGAGGAGGAGCCGGGCGCGCGCGUGCCGUGCCAUGGUUCGUGCACGUUGC
rnacentral:misc_RNA from 1 species